GAGUUUGAUCCUGGCUCAGGAUGAACGCUAGCGGCAGGCUUAACACAUGCAAGUCGAGGGGUAACGGGGAAGCUUGCUUCCGCCGACGACCGGCGCACGGGUGCGUAACGCGUAUACAAUCUACCUUGUACUGGGGUAUAGCCUUUAGAAAUGAAGAUUAAUCCCCCAUAGUCUCUUAGAGUGGCAUCACUUCUAGAGUAAAGGUUACGGUAUAAGAUGAGUAUGCGUUCUAUUAGUUUGUUGGUGUGGUAACGGCACACCAAGACUACGAUAGAUAGGGGCCCUGAGAGGGGGAUCCCCCACACUGGUACUGAGACACGGACCAGACUCCUACGGGAGGCAGCAGUGAGGAAUAUUGGACAAUGGAGGCAACUCUGAUCCAGCCAUGCCGCGUGCAGGAAGACUGCCCUAUGGGUUGUAAACUGCUUUUAUACAGGAAGAAACACCUCUACGUGUAGAGGCUUGACGGUACUGUAAGAAUAAGGAUCGGCUAACUCCGUGCCAGCAGCCGCGGUAAUACGGAGGAUCCAAGCGUUAUCCGGAAUCAUUGGGUUUAAAGGGUCCGUAGGUGGAUAAUUAAGUCAGAGGUGAAAUCUUGCAGCUCAACUGUAAAAUUGCCUUUGAAACUGGUUGUCUUGAGUUAUUAUGAAGUAGUUAGAAUAUGUAGUGUAGCGGUGAAAUGCAUAGAUAUUACAUAGAAUACCAAUUGCGAAGGCAGAUUACUAAUAAUCAACUGACACUGAUGGACGAAAGCGUGGGUAGCGAACAGGAUUAGAUACCCUGGUAGUCCACGCCGUAAACGAUGGUCACUAGCUGUUUGGACUUCGGUCUGAGUGGCUAAGCGAAAGUGAUAAGUAACCCACCUGGGGAGUACGUUCGCAAGAAUGAAACUCAAAGGAAUUGACGGGGGCCCGCACAAGCGGUGGAGCAUGUGGUUUAAUUCGAUGAUACGCGAGGGACCUUACCAGGGCUUAAAUGUAAGUUGCAUUAGCUAGAGAUAGCUAUUUCUUCGGACCACUUACAAGGUGCUGCAUGGUUGUCGUCAGCUCGUGCCCGUGAGGUGUCAGGUUAAGUCCUAUAACGAGCGCAACCCCUGUUGUUAGUUGCCAGCGAGUCAUGUCGGGAACUCUAACAAGACUGCCAGUGCAAACUGUGAGGAAGGUGGGGAUGACGUCAAAUCAUCACGGCCCUUACGUCCUGGGCUACACACGUGCUACAAUGGUAGGUACAGAGAGCAGCCACUGCGCGAGCAGGAGCGAAUCUAUAAAACCUAUCACAGUUCGGAUCGGAGUCUGCAACUCGACUCCGUGAAGCUGGAAUCGCUAGUAAUCGGAUAUCAGCCAUGAUCUGGUGAAUACGUUCCCGGGCCUUGUACUCACCGCCCGUC
rnacentral:rRNA from 1 species